rnacentral:rRNA from 1 species
AUUGAACGCUGGCGGCAGGCCUAACACAUGCAAGUCGAACGGUAACAGGAAGCAGCUUGCUGCUUCGCUGACGAGUGGCGGACGGGUGAGUAAUGUCUGGGAAACUGCCUGAUGGAGGGGGAUAACUACUGGAAACGGUAGCUAAUACCGCAUAACGUCGCAAGACCAAAGAGGGGGACCUUAGGGCCUCUUGCCAUCGGAUGUGCCCAGAUGGGAUUAGCUAGUAGGUGGGGUAACGGCUCACCUAGGCGACGAUCCCUAGCUGGUCUGAGAGGAUGACCAGCCACACUGGAACUGAGACACGGUCCAGACUCCUACGGGAGGCAGCAGUGGGGAAUAUUGCACAAUGGGCGCAAGCCUGAUGCAGCCAUGCCGCGUGUAUGAAGAGGGCCUUCGGGUUGUAAAGUACUUUCAGCGGGGAGGAAGGGAGUAAAGUUAAUACCUUUGCUCAUUGACGUUACCCGCAGAGGAAGCACCGGCUAACUCCGUG